rnacentral:rRNA from 1 species
CAGUCGCCGCGGUAAAACGGAGGAUCCAAGCGUUAUCCGGAAUCAUUGGGUUUAAAGGGUCCGUAGGCGGUCUUGUAAGUCAGUGGUGAAAGCCCAUCGCUCAACGGUGGAACGGCCAUUGAUACUGCAGGACUUGAAUUAUUGGGAAGUAACUAGAAUAUGUAGUGUAGCGGUGAAAUGCUUAGAGAUUACAUGGAAUACCAAUUGCGAAGGCAGGUUACUACCAAUUGAUUGACGCUGAUGGACGAAAGCGUGGGUAGCGAACAGGAUUAGAUACCCCCGUAGUCCCUGUCUCUUAUAC